rnacentral:rRNA from 1 species
AUGGUGGGGUGCGGCUGCGACGGAGAUGAAGGAGGUUCGCCGCCUGUCUUUGUCUCCUUGCUGCGUCCUUUGUUGUCGAUCAUCCCCUCUCCCUUCGCCCCUAGCAGCGCAAUAGUCGGGGACAAGGGGAAGGAGCAGGUUGACCCGACUCCAUCUCUCUGCACGAGGACUAGAGGAGCAGGUGGCGAGGGAAGCCGACACGGCCAGCGGCGGCCCUGCACAGGGACAUCCGCCUCCGGUUUUCCGGAUAAGAUCUGGUGCGGGAGGUGUGGUAUACUGCAUAGGUGUAUAAUCUUGGCUAUGAUCUAUGCUGGAGGAUGUUGA